rnacentral:rRNA from 1 species
UACGAAGGGGGCUAGCGUUGCUCGGAAUCACUGGGCGUAAAGGGUGCGUAGGCGGGGUUUUAAGUCAGGGGUGAAAUCCUGGAGCUCAACUCCAGAACUGCCUUUGAUACUGAAGAUCUCGAGUCCGGGAGAGGUGAGUGGAACUCCGAGUGUAGAGGUGAAAUUCGUAGAUAUUCGGAAGAACACCAGUGGCGAAGGCGGCUCACUGGUCCGGUACUGACGCUGAUGUGCGAAAGCGUGGGGAGCAAACAGG